AGUGAACGCUGGCGGUAGGCCUAACACAUGCAAGUCGAACGGCAGCACAGUAAGAGCUUGCUCUUACGGGUGGCGAGUGGCGGACGGGUGAGGAAUACAUCGGAAUCUACUUUUUCGUGGGGGAUAACGUAGGGAAACUUACGCUAAUACCGCAUACGACCUACGGGUGAAAGCAGGGGAUCUUCGGACCUUGCGCGAUUGAAUGAGCCGAUGUCGGAUUAGCUAGUUGGCGGGGUAAAGGCCCACCAAGGCGACGAUCCGUAGCUGGUCUGAGAGGAUGAUCAGCCACACUGGAACUGAGACACGGUCCAGACUCCUACGGGAGGCAGCAGUGGGGAAUAUUGGGCAAUGGGCGCAAGCCUGAUCCAGCCAUACCGAGUGGGUGAAGAAGGCCUUCGGGUUGUAAAGCCCUUUUGUUGGGAAAGAAAAGCAGCAGGUUAAUACCACGCUGUUCUGACGGUACCCAAAGAAUAAGCACCGGCUAACUUCGUG
rnacentral:rRNA from 1 species